rnacentral:rRNA from 1 species
AGGGGGACCAUCCUCUAAGGCUAAAUACUAAUUACCGACCGAUAGUGAACCAGUACCGUGAGGGAAAGGCGAAAAGAACCCCGACGAGGGGAGUGAAAUAGAACCUGAAACCGUGUGCGUACAAGCAGUAGGAGCCCGUUUACGGGUGACUGCGUACCUUUUGUAUAAUGGGUCAGUGAGUUACUUUUAGUGGCAAGCUUAACUUUCUUAGGGAGGCGUAGGGAAACCGAGUCUUAAUAGGGCGUUUAGUCGCUAGGAGUAGACCCGAAACCAGGCGAUCUAUCCAUGGCCAGGGUGAAGGUGGGGUAAAACCUACUGGAGGCCCGAACCGGGUAAUGUUGAAAAAUUAUCGGAUGAGCUGUGGAUAGGAGUGAAAGGCUAAUCAAGCCUGGAGAUAGCUGGUUCUCCCCGAAAACUAUUUAGGUAGUGCCUCAUGUAUUACUCUCGGGGGUAGAGCACUGUUUCGGCUAGGGGGACAUCCCGUCUUGCCAAACCGAUGCAAACUCCGAAUACCGAGAAGUACAAUCAUGGGAGUCACACAGCGGGUGCUAACGUCCGUUGUGGAAAGGGAAACAACCCAGAUCGCCAACUAAGGUCCCAAAAUUACAGCUAAGUGGGAAACGAAGUGAGAAGUCAAAGACAGCCAGGAGGUUGGCUUAGAAGCAGCCAUCCUUUAAAGAAAGCGUAACAGCUCACUGGUCAAGUCGACUUGCGCGGAAGAUUUAACGGGGCUUAAGCUGUAUACCGAAGUUGCGAAUGCUUAUUUUAUUAUAAGCGUGGUAGGGGAGCGUUCUGUAAGUCACUGAAGGUGUAUUGCGAGAUAUGCUGGAGAUAUCAGAAGUGAGAAUGCUGACAUGAGUAACGAUAAUGCGGGUGAAAAACCCGCACGCCGAAAACCCAAGGUUUCCUGCGCAACGCUAAUCGGCGCAGGGUUAGUCGGUACCUAAGGCGAGACCGAAAGGUGUAGUCGAUGGACAACAGGUUAAUAUUCCUGUACCGCGUAUACUGCGAUGGGGUGACGGAGAAGGCUAAGUUUACCGGGUGUUGGUUAUCCCGGGGAAAGUAUGUAGGUAGGAAGCUUUGGAAAAUCCGGGCUUCUAUUACUGAGGUACGAGACCAUUGAUUUUUUAAUCAAGAAGUAACUGAUGCCAUGCUUCCAAGAAAAGCCUCUAAGCUUCAGGUAUUACGCGACCGUACCCCAAACCGACACAGGUGGGUGGGAUGAGAAUUCUAAGGCGCUUGAGAAAACUCUGGUGAAGGAACUAGGCAAAUUGGUACCGUAACUUCGGGAGAAGGUACGCCUAUAUCGGUGAUGGAACUUGCUUCCUAAGCUGAUGUAGGUCACAGAAACUAGGUGGCUGCGACUGUUUAAUAAAAACACAGCACUCUGCUAACUCGCAAGAGGACGUAUAGGGUGUGACGCCUGCCCGGUGCCGGAAGGUUAAUUGAUCGGGUUAGCCCUUUUUAGGGCGAAGCUCGUGAUCGAAGCCCCGGUGAACGGCGGCCGUAACUAUAACGGUCCUAAGGUAGCGAAAUUCCUUGUCGGGUAAGUUCCGACCUGCACGAAUGGCGUAACGAUGGCCACACUGUCUCCACCAGAGACUCAGUGAAAUUGAAAUAGCUGUGAAGAUGCAGUUUAAACGCACCAAGACGGAAAGACCCCGUGCACCUUUACUACAGCUUUACAUUGGACUUUGAUCCUGUUUGUGCAGGAUAGGUGGGAGGCUAUGAAG